UCAGCCGCUGUCUGUGAGCUACUCUGUGGCUCCUCCUGAAGGCAUAGGGGACCUGGUUUCAGUUCCGAUCCACUCCAAGGCUGGCUUCGAGGAUUCCUCAACCGGGCUGCACUCCUUCGAUUGGGAGUCGGGCUCUGAGCCUGGUAUUGUGUUACCCCCCCCGCCCUGUAGGUAAUGGGGGCAAUCUUUCAUCUGCUCUGAAUCGGAAAUUGGGAUUCUGAGCCAGAUCGGAAGAUUCGGGCCAUGGAGGCCGGAGUGAGGAAGCACUCUCAUCGCAAGUGGAAUCGGUCGUACAUUUCUGCCCUUCGGAAAACAACUUUGGAUGGGGCUGGAGGAGAAUGUGAGGGGAGGAACUGACGGCACUGAAAGGAUCCCUUGAAUCGAAACUGGAAGAGUAUUGCAAAAGUCAGAGGGAAGACACGGCCGAUCAGGUGAAGCUAAAG